GAUGAACGCUGGCGGCGUGCCUAAUACAUGCAAGUCGAGCGAACAGACGAGGAGCUUGCUCCUCUGACGUUAGCGGCGGACGGGUGAGUAACACGUGGAUAACCUACCUAUAAGACUGGGAUAACUUCGGGAAACCGGAGCUAAUACCGGAUAACAUGUUGAACCGCAUGGUUCAACAGUGAAAGACGGUCUUGCUGUCACUUAUAGAUGGAUCCGCGCCGCAUUAGUUAGUUGGUAAGGUAACGGCUUACCAAGGCAACGAUGCGUAGCCGACCUGAGAGGGUGAUCGGCCACACUGGAACUGAGACACGGUCCAGACUCCUACGGGAGGCAGCAGUAGGGAAUCUUCCGCAAUGGGCGAAAGCCUGACGGAGCAACGCCGCGUGAGUGAUGAAGGUCUUCGGAUCGUAAAACUCUGUUAUUAGGGAAGAACAAAUGUGUAAGUAACUAUGCACGUCUUGACGGUACCUAAUCAGAAAGCCACGGCUAACUACGUG
rnacentral:rRNA from 1 species